GGCGCGGUGGCCGAGUGGCUAGGCAGAGGACUGCAAAUCCUUGUACGCCGGUUCGAUUCCGGCCCGUGCCUCCA
rnacentral:tRNA from 1 species